CUACGGGAGGCAGCAGUGAGGAAUAUUGGUCAAUGGGCGGGAGCCUGAACCAGCCAAAUCGCGUGAAGGAUGAAGGUAUUAUGUAUUGUAAACUUCUUUUACAGGGGAAUAAAGUGCGGGACGUGUCCCGUUUUGUAUGUACCCUGAGAAUAAGGAUCGGCUAACUCCGUGCCAGCAGCCGCGGUAAU
rnacentral:rRNA from 1 species